CAACCCAGGUGGUCGAGUGAUUGGUCGAGUGGCGGAUGAUGGUGAGACUCGACUAGGUGGUAGAGUGAUUGGUCGAGUGAAUGAUGAUGGUGAUACUCGGCCAUGUUGGUAGAGUGAUGG
rnacentral:sRNA from 1 species